UUGGGCAAAAGGGUUUUUCAAGAGAGGGUAGGUACCUUUAUCGUGCUCUGUCAAAAGAUUACACAAGCUCAGAGAGAUAAGAGGGAGACGGAAGGAGAUUGGGCAAAAGGGUUUUUCAAGAGAGGGUAGGUACCUUUAUCGUGCUCUGUCAAAAGAUUACACAAGCUCAGAGAGAUAAGAGGGAGACGGAAGGAGAUUGGGCAAAAGGGUUUUUCAAGAGAGGGUUUGGGGCUUAUCUUUUCUUUCUUUUUCUUCUUUUCUUGUAAAGAGUGAUUGGUUAUACAGGCUCCAUCUGAAGUGACAGCGAGCGUUUGGGAACCCAAUAGAUAUAUUUUUUUGCAGAGCA
rnacentral:misc_RNA from 1 species